AUUGUUACAAAAUCCAUUCCCACCGACAACCCACUCCCGACGACGGCGAGAAGUUCUCAGAUUUCGGUAAUCUUCUUCAACUAGUCUUCCUCCUCCUCUUCCAGUCCUUUGUUGAGAUCACUUCUUUCUCUCAGAUUUUGGUAAUCUGGUAAUCUUCUUUCUCCUUCAACUAGUCUUCCUAUUACAGUCCUUUGUUCAGAUUUCAGUAAUCUUUAAGGUAGCAGACAUUUCUGGGGUUGCUUUUGAACUGAGAUUAUUUGAUACAGCUUGUACUGUUAGCUUUGAACAAAGUUUCUUCAAGUUGUUUUGUGAAGGCCAAGCAUGUGAUCCGAAUCUUUUAACUUUUUGCCAAAUUAAAAAAUGGCUUCUUCUUCUAUUACUAACAAUAGCAACAUAAGAUUAAAACCGAGGCUGUGCAAUUGUGGAAGAACAACUGCCAUAUAUAUUUUAAGAACCAAUGAUCAUGGAAAUCAAGGGCAUUUGUUCUUUGUAUGCCCAUCAAAAUAUUAACAGUGGCCACUGUAAUUACUUCAAGUUCGUGGAUGAAGAUGAUGAAGACGUUACGUCCACAAUCCGUUCCAUCACUAGAGCUUGCGAUGCUAUAACAAUAGAAGACUUUAAUGAUCUAAGGGCGAGCCUUCAUGAGAUAGAAAAUGAAAAUGAUGAAUAUCGUCGAAGACUUGAAAGGAUCGAAAAUGAAAAUGAUGACUAUGGUCGAAGGCUUGAAAGGAUUGAAAAUCAUUUGAAGGAGAUGGUGUAUGUCAUUGUAAUUUUUAUGAUUUUGUACUUUAUGAUGUAACUUAUUGUUUGGUUGGCUUCGGAAAAUUUGACUAAAGUUAUUAUGGAUUUUAUAAAACUUAACGGAUGUAUUGUCGGCAUUUAUAGCAUUUUGGCUUUAAUGAAUAGAUGCAAUGAUUUUAGAUGGUUUUUAUAAA